UUAGCUAACCCUCAUUUAGUCUCUGUGUGAGCAGCUGAAGAACAAUUCAUCAGUGACUCUGUUCAAAGUAUCAGAGAAGAAAAUAAAGGCCAGCUGUUACUUGGUUCCCCCCAACCUGAAAACAGUUCCUGGGACACUGAAAAUACACCAACUGACAUCCACAAAACCGGGAGUCAUAAACACACGGGAGGUGUCAUGCUUUUGUGGAAAAAAUUGCCAGUGCUUUUCUGCAAAUUGCCACGUGUUCUCUGAGGGAAGAGAUGAGGACCCUGACAAAACCGAAGCCACCAUAGAGGUUGGACAGUGGGUCCUGGUUGAAUACGAUGGUGACUUGUUCCCUGGUACAGUCACACAGAUGUUCCAGGCUAGACAAGUGGAUGCUCAACCUGAGAAGACAGAACUGGAGACAAGACUUCUUGUUUGUGCAGUUAACACUUUGAAAGUCAUCACUUCAUCACUGAUUUUAAGACAUCACUUGUCAGAGGUU